CUUGUACUCCCUCCAUCCGAAAAUACUUGUCAUUGAAAUGGAUGUAUCUGGAUGUAUUUUAGUUCUAGACACAUCCAUUUUGAUGACAAGUAAUUCUGGACGGAGGGAGUACAUG
rnacentral:pre_miRNA from 1 species